UGGGGAAUAUUGGACAAUGGGCGCAAGCCUGAUCCAGCAACGCCGCGUGAAUGAAGAAGGCCUUAGGGUUGUAAAGUUCUUUUGGUGGGGAAGAUAAUGACUGUACCCACAGAAUAAGCCCCGGCUAACUUCGUGCCAGCAGCCGCGGUAAUACGAAGGGGGCUAGCGUUACUCGGAAUUAUUGGGCGUAAAGCGUGCGCAGGCGGUUUGGUAAGUUGGAAGUGAAAUCCUAGGGCUCAACCCUAGAACAGCUUCCAAUACUGCUUUACUAGAGUGUCGGAGGGGGUGACGGAAUUCCUAGUGUAGAGGUGAAAUUCGUAGAUAUUAGGAGGAACACCGGUGGCGAAAGCGGUCACCUGGCCGAACACUGACGCUGUUGCACGAAAGCGUGGGGAGCAAACAGG
rnacentral:rRNA from 1 species